CCUACGGGAGGCUGCAGUAGGGAAUAUUGCUCAAUGGGGGAAACCCUGAAGCAGCAACGCCGCGUGGAGGAUGAAGGUUUUCGGAUUGUAAACUCCUUUUGUUAGAGAAGAUAAUGACGGUAUCUAACGAAUAAGCACCGGCUAACUCCGUGCCAGCAGCCGCGGUAAUACGGAGGGUGCAAGCGUUACUCGGAAUUACUGGGCGUAAAGAGCACGUAGGCGGGAUAGCAAGUCAGAUGUGAAAUCCUAGGGCUUAACCAUAGAACUGCAUUUGAAACUGUUAUUCUAGAGUAUGGGAGAGGUAGGUGGAAUUCUUGGUGUAGGGGUGAAAUCCGUAGAGAUCAAGAGGAAUACUCAUUGCGAAGGCGACCUGCUAGAACAUAACUGACGCUGAUGCGCGAAAGCGUGGGGAGCAAACAGGAUUAGAUACCCUUGUAGUC
rnacentral:rRNA from 1 species